rnacentral:rRNA from 1 species
CCUACGGGUGGCUGCAGUGGGGAAUAUUGGGCAAUAGGCGCAAGCCUGACCCAGCAACGCCGCGUGAAGGAAGACGGCCUUCGGGUUGUAAACCUCUUUUCUCAGGGACGAAGAAAGUGACGGUACCUGAGGAAUAAGCCACGGCUAACUACGUGCCAGCAGCCGCGGUAAUACGUAGGUGGCAAGCGUUAUCCGGAUUUACUGGGUGUAAAGGGCGUGUAGGCGGGGAAGCAAGUCAGAUGUGAAAAUCACGGGCUCAACCUGUGGCCUGCAUUUGAAACUGGUUUUCUUGAGUACUGGAGAGGCAGGCGGAAUGCCUAGUGUAGCGGUGAAAUGCGUAGAUAUUAGGAGGAACACCAGUGGCGAAGGCGGUCUGCUGGACAGCAACUGACGCUGAGGCGCGAAAGCGUGGGGAGCGAACAGGAUUAGAUACCCCAGUAGUC